UAUAACUUGACGGAGUACAGCCAAUAAGCUGUUGAGACUGUCUUAUAACCCAAGCGUUGUUGCAGACAGAUACCGUUGAACCUGAAGGUUAAGACCUGCGUAGGAAUCAAGUUAAUGAAAGUA
rnacentral:ncRNA from 2 species